UCCUUUCUCGCUUCUCUCACUCGGUCGCUCGGUCGGUCCGCUGCUUCUAAGAAAUAUUCCAAAUAUAAGCCGUCGUCUUCAGGUACUCUUUUCCCUUCGCCCUCUGCUCCCCUUCUCCGUUUUACAUUUUCCUGUCGUCACCGAUUCUUCUUUCACGCUAAGUCCUCCUCCACAGAGCUCUAUCUCUUCUCUCCGGUACAGUGCUUCUUCUUUCUCUUCUUUAAUUUUUUCUUGUUUUGCCCUUUUGUUUGUUCGGUCCUUGUCCGUCAUAAAAAAACAAAAGGAAAUCCCAAAAUGGAAACCCUGGAAACCACUGAAACCCUACGCGACGACUCCUCCAAGAAGCCCUCCGAAACCCAAACCCUAGAAGCCCUCGCGGGACUUAGGGUUUCGGAACCAGGGUUUCCGCCGGAGGGAGAACCCCUAGCUCCGGCCCCGGGGGAGGAAGCUAAAACCCUAGGGUCGGGGUUGCCGCCGGAGGCCGGCGAGAGGGAGGAGCGGCACUCCUUCGCCGUCGGUGAUUUCGUGUGGGGGAAGAUCAAGAGCCAUCCAUGGUGGCCGGGCCAGGUGUACGACCCCUCUCGAGCAUCGGAUCACGCCAAGAGGGUCCACCGGAGGGACCGGUCGGUGCUCGUGGCCUACUUCGGGGACGACUCCUUUGCCUGGUGCCACCCGGCGCAACUGCGGCCGUUCGUGCUGGAUUUCCACCAGAUGGUGAAGCAGAGCAGCUCGAGGAGCUUUGUCAGCGCCGUGGAGGACGUCCUGGGGGAGAUCGGGCGGUGCCUCGAGCUCGAGCUCACUUGCCACUGCGUGCCUCGGGAGGCCCGGCCAGCGAGUGCCAGAGGCCAGGUCGGGAAGGCUCCGGUAGUAAAUUUCGCGCCUUUGGAGUUCCAUGAGCAUCUCUGUGACGCGGCAUGUGAUGUUUCGGUGGUUGAUAUGCUGGAAAGCGCGAUGCUAAGGAGUUGGGUCUUGGCCUUUGGUAAGGGGUGGAGCAAUGGUUCGGGCUGGGUACCACCGUCGCCGGGGGAUAAUGGACCUGGUGGACAAGAUCGAUCUUGAUGUCCCACCAGGGGACUUGGCUGACAGCAAGGAGGAGGAGGAGUAUUGGAUCACUGGGAACAGUGUUGUGAAGGGGCCAAAGAUAUCAGCGGAGAAGUUGUUCAGGAACAGGAAGAAGAGAAGCAUGGCAAAGCUCAUCGCCGAGAUGGAUUUGGAUGCUGUUGAGGUUAGUGAUGGUGAGGACGACAAGGUGGAGGAGAAGGUGAAGGAGAAAGUGGAGUCUGGGAAGCGCAAGAAGAAGACUGAGAAUGAGAAGACUGGGUCAGAUAUGGAAAAUAUUGGUGUCAAGGCUGAAGAAGAGGGUGGCUCCGGUAGACGGGAACGGAAGAAGAGCAAGUAUUUGUCGCCUCCCUACACUUAUUUGAGUGGGUAUACAAAGUUUAUGGCCUUACCGAGGAGUGCAGAAUUGAAGACACCGAGGAAAAGUAUCGAUUCCUCUGGGCCUUUGUCACCCAAGUCCCCGACAAUUUUGAAGUGCAACUGUGACACAGUUCAGAAGGAAGAGGAUAGGAUGACUUCUUCAUUCCAGGUUGAUAACACUUCGGUGCAUGAGGUUCUUGCGGAGUUCCUCUGCACGGCAGUUGAUCCGCUUCACCUGAAAUGGAAUCGCUUGGCGAAGACAAUCAGGGGCUUCUUUGCAAUAUAUAGAAGCUCUAUGUACUCUAGUGGCUCUGACUGUGUAUCUUACCAAAAGCAUUUGACUGAAUCUUGUGGCAUGAAUGGAAAAACUCCUAGUAAAUAUAUAGUGGAUAGGCCUGAAGUUGGGAAAUCUGAGGGGAAGAGGAAGCAGAAGAAAGAUGGGGACUAGUGGAGAAACUCCGAUAGUUUUGGGUCCUGAUUCCGCAAAUCACUCUAAACAAGGUAAGGUGGGAAGGAAGAGAAAGGCGAGGAAGGAUGACACGACUGUUGAAGCUCUGGUUAAUUUGGAACCCCCGGAUUGUUGAUGUUCCAGUGGAAGGUAAACUGGCAAGGAGAUGCGCGAAAGGCAAGGAUGGUGCUAAUGGUGAAAGCACGGCGAAUUUGUCUCAGGAUUCAGAAGCAGCUAAAUUGGGGCAGAAGAUGGUCAGGAGCAAGGGAGUUGCUAAUGGAAAAUCUCCAGCGGAAUUGGGUCAUGAGCUUAGCGGUCGCUCUCAUGAAGGUAAGUCUGGGCAGAGAAGGAGAAAAGGCAAAAAUGCACCUGGUACUUUGCAUGUUCUUGAUUUGGAUCGUGACAUUGCUAAUGGUCCGAAUGAAGGUAAAUCCAGGCAGAAGAGGAGGAAGAAGGAUGGAAAUAACUACGGGAAUCCGGCAGCUCUUCAUAUGAAUUUUGCUCCGGGCGUCACACUGCCAUCCAGGGAUGACCUUAUCUCCACUUUUAGCAAGUACGGGGUCUUGAUCGAGACCGAGACAGAGUUGCUACAAGAGACUGGCAGUGCUCGGGUUGUGUUUGUGAAAAGCACCGAUGCAGAAAAGGCCUUUAGCAGUUUAGACAAGACUGGAGUUUUUGGGGCUCCAUAUGCUACUUACUGCCUCCGCUAUCUACCUGCGUGAAAGAAACAGGAUGCUCUGAUGGGUGAAGCCAGAGGCAAGAGAUAACUUAGUUGGUGAGAUGCAGGGCCUCCUCAAGAAGGUUAACAAGAUGCUGAACGGACCUGCUGCUGGUACCCCUUUUUAGCUCCACCAUUUUAUAGAUAUAUGGAUCUAACCUACUUAGCUUUAGAGUCUUUGUUAUCCUUUAUGUUGGUUAUGUCAAUUGGUCAAAGACUACUGCUCUCUUUAGGAUGCCUGCACAUUGGUGCUGUUAACCCGAAUGGGUUGUUGUAUUUUCGUACACUGUUGCAUGGUGGACUACGGAGACUUCAUCUUGCCUUUC